ACUACGUGCCAGCAGCCGCGGUAAUACGUAGGGGGCAAGCGUUAUCCGGAUUUACUGGGUUUAAAGGGUGCGUAGGUGGGUAGGUAAGUCAGUGGUGAAAUCUUCAAGCUUAACUUGGAAACUGCCAUUGAUACUAUUUAUCUUGAAUACUUUGGAGGUAAGCGGAAUAUGUCAUGUAGCGGUGAAAUGCUUAGAUAUGACAUAGAACACCAAUUGCGAAGGCAGCUUACUACACAGUUAUUGACACUGAGGCACGAAAGCGUGGGGAUCAAACAGGA
rnacentral:rRNA from 1 species